rnacentral:rRNA from 1 species
GAUGAACGCUGGCGGCGUGCCUAAUACAUGCAAGUCGAGCGAACAGACGAGGAGCUUGCUCCUCUGACGUUAGCGGCGGACGGGUGAGUAACACGUGGAUAACCUACCUAUAAGACUGGGAUAACUUCGGGAAACCGGAGCUAAUACCGGAUAAUAUAUUGAACCGCAUGGUUCAAUAGUGAAAGACGGUUUUGCUGUCACUUAUAGAUGGAUCCGCGCCGCAUUAGCUAGUUGGUAAGGUAACGGCUUACCAAGGCAACGAUGCGUAGCCGACCUGAGAGGGUGAACGGCCACAAUGGAAAUGAGACACGGUCCAGACUCCUAAGGGAGGCAACAGUAGGGAAUCUUCCGCAAUGGGCGAAAGCCUGACGGAGCAACGCCGCGUGAGUGAUGAAGGUCUUCGGAUCGUAAAACUCUGUUAAUAGGGAAGAACAAAUGUGUAAGUAACUAUGCACGUCUUGACGGUACCUAAUCAGAAAGGCACGGCUAACUACGUG